rnacentral:misc_RNA from 1 species
AAAUAUUUUUGGAAAAAAAAAAAAUCAUAAUCUCUAAAAUGGCCCACAGUUCACCUGAUCAUUUCCUGGCUCACGCCAACUAUUCUCCUAAACCUAAACAAUCUCCUCCAAGGCCCCGUAAUUAGCUACUUUCCUAAUUCUCUUCUGGGUCUAGUCUACUGAUUAUCUUCUUCAUGCGUAGGAUCCAAAACCAGCAACUGCGAUGCUUUUUCAAAUAUAGCCCCUGGAAGAGAACCAGAUGGUGAAGACCCCGCAAGAAUUCGCCAUGUAUGUUGCUAGAUGGUUCUCAGAUCUCGAUUGGAAACUUCUCUUGUUAUUUGUUCCUCCUCUAUUUAUCAUUGUUUUUCUCUUUCUAUCUGCUACACCCGUUAGUCCUUUAUCCGCUUUCGCCCCUCUUGCGUCUUUUUUCUUCAAUAGAACUACUUCAGCCGAUGAUCCAUGUGUGUUGCCGUUGAAUCGGAGUCAGGGGGUGAGGUCGUGGGAGGAUGAAUUGUACCGGUCGAGAAUGGCGGUGUGUUUGGUUGGUGGAGCUAGAAGAUUCGAGCUAACUGGACCGUCGAUUGUGGAGAAUAUUCUCAAUGUGUAUCCAAACUCAGACCUCUUUUUGCAUUGUCCUUUAGACGAAAAUGCUUUCAAGUUCUCGCUCUUGAAAUUGGCCCCCAGGAUAGCCACCGUACGCAUCUUUCAGCCCAAACCCAUUCCGGAAACUGAGGCUGAGGUCCGAGUACUCACCGCCUCGAAUUCCCCGAACGGAAUCCAGGGCCUACUGCAGUAUUUUAAUCUCGUAGAAGGAUGUCUCACAAUGAUAGAGGAGUACCAAAACCAAAACAACUUCAAAUACGACUGGGUAGUCCGUACUCGAGUUGAUGGCUACUGGAACGCCCCACU